GGCCGUGUGGUGUAGUGGUAGCAUACUUGCUUUGGGAGAUCAAUCGUGCAAGUGGUCCCAGGUUCAAGCCCUGGCUCGGCCC